rnacentral:rRNA from 1 species
CACGUAGGGCGCAAGCGUUGUCCGGAAUUAUUGGGCGUAAAGAGCUCGUAGGCGGUCUGUUACGUCUGCUGUGAAAACCCAGGGCUUAACCCUGGGCUUGCAGUGGAUACGGGCAGACUAGAGGCAGGUAGGGGAGAAUGGAAUCCCCGGUGUAGCGGUGAAAUGCGCAGAUAUCGGGAGGAAUACCGGUGGCGAAGGCGGCAUCCUGGACCGACAUUGACGCUGAGGCGCGAAAGCUAGGGGAGCAAACGGG